UACAGAGGCCUCAAGCGUUGUUCGGAUUUAUUGGGCGUAAAGGGUGCGUAGGCGGUACCGAAAGUUAGGUGUGAAAGUUCGAGGCUCAACCUCGAAAUUGCACCUAAUACUCCGGUGCUUGAGUCUCAUAGAGGAAUCUGGAAUUCACGGUGUAGCAGUGAAAUGCGUAGAUAUCGUGAAGAAGGCCUGUGGCGAAAGCAAGAUUCUGGGUGACGACUGACGCUGAGGCACGAAAGCCAGGGGAGCAAACGGG
rnacentral:rRNA from 1 species